rnacentral:rRNA from 1 species
GGGUCAGUAGGUUGGUCGUGCCACCGGUACGUACUGGUCUCACUGAUUCCUCCUUCCUGAAGAACCGUAAUGCCAUUAAUUUGGUGUUGCGGGGUAACAGGACUGUUACUUUGAAAAAAUUAGAGUGUUUAAAGCAAGCUAACGCUUGAAUACAUUAGCAUGGAAUAAUGUAAUAGGACCAUCGAUCCUAUUUUGUUGGUUUCUAGGAUUGACGUA